rnacentral:rRNA from 1 species
AUACGGAGGAUCCAAGCGUUAUCCGGAUUUAUUGGGUUUAAAGGGUGCGCAGGCGGCCAUUUAAGUCAGCGGUUAAAUCGUGGGGCUCAACCCCAUUCUGCCGUUGAUACUGGGUGGCUUGAUUGCGGUCGAGGUUGGCGGAAUUCGUUGUGUAGCGGUGAAAUGCAUAGAUAUGACGAAGAACACCGAUUGCGUAGGCAGCUGACCAGACCGCAAAUGACGCUCAUGCACGAAAGUGCGGGGAUCGAACAGGAUUAGAUACCCUGGUAGUCGCACAGUAAACGAUGAAUACUUGUUUUCGGCGAUAUAAUGUCGGAGGCAAAGCGAGAGCGAUAAGUAUUCCACCUGGGGAGUACGCCGGCAACGGUGAAACUCAAAGGAAUUGACGGGG